GAUCCUGGCUCAGGAUGAACGCUGGCGGCGUGCUUAACACAUGCAAGUCGAGCGAAGCACUUAGGAAAGGUUCUUCGGAUGAUUUCCUAUUUGACUGAGCGGCGGACGGGUGAGUAACGCGUGGGUAACCUGCCUCGAUACAGGGGGAUAACAGUUAGAAAUGACUGCUAAUACCGCAUAAGACCACAGCACCGCAUGGUGCAGGGGUAAAAACUCCGGUGGUAUGAGAUGGACCCGCGU
rnacentral:rRNA from 1 species